ensembl:snoRNA K11C4.6 ncRNA
CCUCGAUGACGAUUCACCUAGCUCACUCAGACAUACAACUGGUGAUAAAAAAAUUUCGUGUCUUAGAGAC